rnacentral:rRNA from 1 species
UAGCAAUACGAGCGGCGCACGGGUGAGUAACACGUAAAGAAUCUGCCCUGAAGUGGGGAAUAACUAUCCCAACGGAUAGCUAAUACCGCAUAAAGACGGGGAAGGCAUCUUCCCUAAUCGAAAGGCUUCGGCCGCUUCAGGAUGACUUUGCGUCCCAUUAGCUAGUUGGCGGUGUAAUGGACCACCAAGGCUACGAUGGGUAUCCGGCCUGAGAGGGUGUACGGACACAUUGGGACUGAGAUACGGCCCAGACUCCUACGGGAGGCAGCAGUAGGGAAUUUUGCGCAAUGGGGGAAACCCUGACGCAGCGACGCCAUGUGUGGGAUGAAGCAUUUCGGUGUGUAAACCACUGUCAGCAGGGAAUAAAAGGUUUCUUCGGAGACAGUUGAAUGUACCUGCAAAGGAAGCCCCGGCUAACUUCGUGCCAGCAGCCGCGGUAAUACGAGGGGGGCAAAUGUUGUUCGGAAUCACUGGGCGUAAAGGGAGCGUAGGCGGGCUUCUAAGUUAGGUGUUUAAUCCCAGGGCCCAACCCUGGUCGUGCACUUAAAACUGGGAGUCUUGAAUAGUGGAGAGGUCAGUGGAAUUGGGGGUGUAGCGGUGGAAUGCGUAGAGAUCCCCAAGAACACCAGUUGCGAAGGCGGCUGACUGGACACAUAUUGACGCUGAGGCUCGAAAGCAUGGGGAGCAAACAGGAUUAGAUACCCUGGUAGUCCAUGCUAUAAACGAUGAAUACUAGGUUUUAGGCCCGUCAACGGUCUAGAGCCGCAGCUAACGCGUUAAGUAUUCCGCCUGGGGAGUACG